rnacentral:rRNA from 1 species
UGGGGAAUUUUGGACAAUGGGCGCAAGCCUGAUCCAGCCAUGCCGCGUGCGGGAAGAAGGCCUUCGGGUUGUAAACCGCUUUUGUCAGGGAAGAAAUCUUCUGAGUUAAUACCUCGGGAGGAUGACGGUACCUGAAGAAUAAGCACCGGCUAACUACGUGCCGGCAGCCGCGGUAAUACGUAGGGUGCAAGCGUUAAUCGGAAUUACUGGGCGUAAAGCGUGCGCAGGCGGUUUUGUAAGACAGAGGUGAAAUCCCCGGGCUCAACCUGGGAACUGCCUUUGUGACUGCAAGGCUUGAGUGCGGCAGAGGGGGAUGGAAUUCCGCGUGUAGCAGUGAAAUGCGUAGAUAUGCGGAGGAACACCGAUGGCGAAGGCAAUCCCCUGGGCCUGCACUGACGCUCAUGCACGAAAGCGUGGGGAGCAAACAGGAUUAGAUACCCUGGUAGUCCACGCCCUAAACGAUGUCAACUGGUUGUUGGGAAGGUUCCUUCUCAGUGACGUAGCUAACGCGUNAAGUUGACCGCUGGGAGUACGGCCGCAAGGUUGAAAGCUCAAAUGAAUUGACGGGGGCUCAU